CCUACGGGUGGCAGCAGUGAGGAAUAUUGGUCAAUGGGCGGAAGCCUGAACCAGCCAAGUCGCGUGAGGGAAUAAGGCCCUACGGGUCGUAAACCUCUUUUGCCGGGGAGCAAGGGCGGGGACGUGUCCCGGCCCGGAGAGUACCCGGAGAAAAAGCAUCGGCUAACUCCGUGCCAGCAGCCGCGGUAAUACGGAGGAUCCGAGCGUUAUCCGGAUUUAUUGGGUUUAAAGGGAGCGUAGAUGGGUUGUUAAGUCAGUUGUGAAAGUUUGCGGCUCAACCGUAAAAUUGCAAUUGAUACUGGCAGCCUUGAGUACAGUUGAGGUAGGCGGAAUUCGUGGUGUAGCGGUGAAAUGCUUAGAUAUCACGAAGAACUCCGAUUGCGAAGGCAGCAUACCGGCGCCCAACUGACGCUGAAGCACGAAAGCGUGGGUAUCGAACAGGAUUAGAUACCCUUGUAGUC
rnacentral:rRNA from 1 species